rnacentral:rRNA from 1 species
AUGGCUCAGUGAGGCCUUGGGAUUGGCCAGGGGAGGUGGGCCACCGCCACCCCAGGCCGAAAACUUGGUCAAACUUGGUCAUUUAGAGGAAGUAAAAGUCGUAACAAGGUUUCCGUAGGUGAACCUGCGGAAGGAUCAUUACCGAGUGAGGGUGUGCCCUUCGCGGCCGCCCGACCUCCAUACCCAAUGUCGACUGAACCACACGUUGCUUCGGCGGGCCGGGCUCGACCAACUGGUCGAACCCGCCGGCCCCUUGGGGGGCUGGAGCGCCGCCCGCCGAUGGCCCCUACCAAACCCUUGAUACCUAAACUGUCGUCUGAAUGAACUUUUUUGAUUGUACAAUCAAGCACUAAAACUUUCAACAACGGAUCUCUUGGUUCUGGCAUCGAUGAAGAACGCAGCGAAAUGCGAUAAGUAAUGCGAAUUGCAGAAUUUCCGUGAGUCAUCGAAUCUUUGAACGCACAUUGCGCCCAUUGGUAUUCCGAUGGGCAUGCCUGUUCGAGCGUCAUUGUCCCCCUCAGACCCCCCGGGUUUGGUGUUGGACCCAGGUCGGUCGCCCGCGACCGACCGGUCCCAAAGGCAAUGACGGCGUCCGUGGGACCCUCAACGCAACGAGCUUUCUCGGGAGCACGCGUCGAGUCGCAAGGACCCACGGGGCCGGUCACCCCCCUGCGCCACGCAGGGGCCCCCUUCUCCAGGUUGACCUCGGAUCAGGUAGGAAUACCCGCUGAACUUAAGCAUAUCAAUAAGCGGAGGAAAAGAAACCAACAGGGAUUGCCUCAGUAACGGCGAGUGAAGCGGCAACAGCUCAAAUUUGAAAUCUGGCCUCACGGCCCGAGUUGUAAUUUGUAGAGGAUGUUUUGGGCACCGCGGCGGUGUAAAUUUCUUGGAACAGAAUGUCAGAGAGGGUGAGAAUCCCGUCUUGGACCGCCGUAGGACCCGUGUAAAACUCCUUCGACGAGUCGACUUGUUUGGGAAUGCAGGUCAAAAUGGGUGGUAAAUUUCAUCUAAAGCUAAAUAUUGGCCAGAGACCGAUAGCGCACAAGUAGAGUGAUCGAAAGAUGAAAAGCACUUUGAAAAGAGAGUUAAACAGUAUGUGAAAUUGUUGAAAGGGAAGCGCUGGCAACCAGACUCGCGCGCGGGGUUCCCCCUUCCGUCAGGCUGGGUCACUUCCCCGCGUCCGGGCCAUCAUCAGUUUUGGGGGCCGGUCAAAGGCCCCGGGAAUGUAUCCACCCCUCCGGGGGUGGACUUAUAGCCCGGGGCGUCAUGCGGCCUCCCGGGACUGAGGAACGCGCUUCGGCGAGGAUGAUGGCGUAAUGGUUGUCAGCGGCCCGUCUUGAAACACGGACCAAGGAGUCUAACAUCUAUGCGAGUGUUCGGGUGUCAAACCCCUGCGCGGAAUGAAAGUGAACGGAGGUAGGAAGGCCUGAGCCUGCACUAUCGACCGAUCCUGAUGUCUUCGGAUGGAUUUGAGUAGGAGCAUAGCUGUUGGGACCCGAAAGAUGGUGAACUAUACGUGAAUAGGGUGAAGCCAGAGGAAACUCUGGUGGAGGCUCGCAGCGGUUCUGACGUGCAAAUCGAUCGUCAAAUUUGCGUAUAGGGGCGAAAGACUAAUCGAACG